rnacentral:lncRNA from 1 species
ACAGCUUUCUGUGAAGAGGGCUGCAGAUACGGUGGAACGUGUGUGGCUCCUAACAAAUGUGUCUGUCCAUCUGGAUUCACAGGAAGCCACUGCGAGAAAGAUAUUGAUGAAUGUUCAGAGGGAAUCAUUGAGUGCCACAACCAUUCCCGCUGCGUUAACCUGCCAGGGUGGUACCACUGUGAGUGCAGAAGCGGUUUCCAUGAC